rnacentral:rRNA from 1 species
AGAGUUUGAUCCUGGCUCAGGACGAACGCUGGCGGCGUGCUUAACACAUGCAAGUCGAACGGAAAGGCCCUUCGGGGUACUCGAGUGGCGAACGGGUGAGUAACACGUGGGUGAUCUGCCCUGCACUUUGGGAUAAGCCUGGGAAACUGGGUCUAAUACCGAAUAUGACCAUGCACUUCCUGGUGUGUGGUGGAAAGCUUUUGCGGUGUGGGAUGGGCCCGCGGCCUAUCAGCUUGUUGGUGGGGUAAUGGCCUACCAAGGCGACGACGGGUAGCCGGCCUGAGAGGGUGACCGGCCACACUGGGACUGAGAUACGGCCCAGACUCCUACGGGAGGCAGCAGUGGGGAAUAUUGCACAAUGGGCGCAAGCCUGAUGCAGCGACGCCGCGUGAGGGAUGACGGCCUUCGGGUUGUAAACCACUUUCAGCACAGACGAAGCGCAAGUGACGGUAUGUGCAGAAGAAGGACCGGCCAACUACGUGCCAGCAGCCGCGGUAAUACGUAGGGUCCGAGCGUUGUCCGGAAUUACUGGGCGUAAAGAGCUCGUAGGUGGUUUGUCGCGUUGUUCGUGAAAACUCACAGCUUAACUGUGGGCGUGCGGGCGAUACGGGCAGACUUGAGUACUGCAGGGGAGACUGGAAUUCCUGGUGUAGCGGUGGAAUGCGCAGAUAUCAGGAGGAACACCGGUGGCGAAGGCGGGUCUCUGGGCAGUAACUGACGCUGAGGAGCGAAAGCGUGGGGAGCGAACAGGAUUAGAUACCCUGGUAGUCC